UUUGAAUAUUAAUUAUACUCCAUAUUUGGGUGAGAUUUUUCUGAACAGGUAUUUUAUCAUGGUGUUCCUCUGGCAUUAACCUGUCCUCAGCAGUAAUUUCCAGUACAAGAAGUUCUUGAAGAUCAUUGGCCAUUACCAUGGAUUCUUUGUGACCUGGAAAAUUGUUCCGCAUGUUCUUGGAGGGAUUUUAGUUAAACAUCCUGCACUGUGACUAUUACUAAUGAUUUGGAAAUUUCUUCAUAUACACUGUUUCCCUGAAUAUAAAGUCACACCAUCAUUAGCAAGCGAGUGUAAAGAAUGUAUUUUGGGACAUGUACAGUUUGCAUUGGUUUUAGAACGAGUGGUCAUAUUAAACUCUCAGCUGAUUUAUAUCUCAUUGAUUGGAACAUCUUAAAACGUAUUACUAGCUAUGAAAUGUUGGAUCUCUGUAUUUAAAAAAAAAUAUCCAAUAUAGCUGAGCUGGAAAAAUAAUCCCUAUUUAAGAGUUAUUUUUAUUUAUUUUUCUUACAGCAAAAGUGUUUAGAAAUGGAAC